rnacentral:rRNA from 1 species
UGGGGAAUAUUGGACAAUGGGCGCAAGCCUGAUCCAGCAAUGCCGCGUGAGUGAUGAAGGCCUUAGGGUUGUAAAGCUCUUUUACCCGGGAAGAUAAUGACUGUACCGGGAGAAUAAGCCCCGGCUAACUCCGUGCCAGCAGCCGCGGUAAUACGGAGGGGGCUAGCGUUGUUCGGAAUUACUGGGCGUAAAGCGCACGUAGGCGGCUUGGUAAGUUAGAGGUGAAAGCCUGGAGCUCAACUCCAGAAUUGCCUUUAAGACUGCCGAGCUAGCAGGUGAGAGAGGUGAGUGGAAUUCCGAGUGUAGAGGUGAAAUUCGUAGAUAUUCGGAAGAACACCAGUGGCGAAGGCGGCUCACUGGCUCAUACUGGACGCUGAGGUGCGAAAGCGUGGGGAGCAAACA